GAUGAACGCUGGCGGCGUGCCUAAUACAUGCAAGUCGAGCGAACGGACGAGAAGCUUGCUUCUCUGAUGUUAGCGGCGGACGGGUGAGUAACACGUGGAUAACCUACCUAUAAGACUGGGAUAACUUCGGGAAACCGGAGCUAAUACCGGAUAAUAUUUUGAACCGCAUGGUUCAAAAGUGAAAGACGGUCUUGCUGUCACUUAUAGAUGGAUCCGCGCUGCAUUAGCUAGUUGGUAAGGUAACGGCUUACCAAGGCAACGAUGCAUAGCCGACCUGAGAGGGUGAUCGGCCACACUGGAACUGAGACACGGUCCAGACUCCUACGGGAGGCAGCAGUAGGGAAUCUUCCGCAAUGGGCGAAAGCCUGACGGAGCAACGCCGCGUGAGUGAUGAAGGUCUUCGGAUCGUAAAACUCUGUUAUUAGGGAAGAACAUAUGUGUAAGUAACUGUGCACAUCUUGACGGUACCUAAUCAGAAAGCCACGGCUAACUACGUGCCAGCAGCCGCGGUAAUACGUAGGUGGCAAGCGUUAUCCGGAAUUAUUGGGCGUAAAGCGCGCGUAGGCGGUUUUUUAAGUCUGAUGUGAAAGCCCACGGCUCAACCGUGGAGGGUCAUUGGAAACUGGAAAACUUGAGUGCAGAAGAGGAAAGUGGAAUUCCAUGUGUAGCGGUGAAAUGCGCAGAGAUAUGGAGGAACACCAGUGGCGAAGGCGACUUUCUGGUCUGUAACUGACGCUGAUGUGCGAAAGCGUGGGGAUCAAACAGGAUUAGAUACCCUGGUAGUCCACGCCGUAAACGAUGAGUGCUAAGUGUUAGGGGGUUUCCGCCCCUUAGUGCUGCAGCUAACGCAUUAAGCACUCCGCCUGGGGAGUACGACCGCAAGGUUGAAACUCAAAGGAAUUGACGGGGACCCGCACAAGCGGUGGAGCAUGUGGUUUAAUUCGAAGCAACGCGAAGAACCUUACCAAAUCUUGACAUCCUUUGACAACUCUAGAGAUAGAGCUUUCCCCUUCGGGGGACAAAGUGACAGGUGGCGCAUGGUUGUCGUCAGCUCGUGUCGUGAGAUGUUGGGUUAAGUCCCGCAACGAGCGCAACCCUUAAGCUUAGUUGCCAUCAUUAAGUUGGGCACUCUAAGUUGACUGCCGGUGACAAACCGGAGGAAGGUGGGGAUGACGUCAAAUCAUCAUGCCCCUUAUGAUUUGGGCUACACACGUGCUACAAUGGACAAUACAAAGGGCAGCGAAACCGCGAGGUCAAGCAAAUCCCAUAAAGUUGUUCUCAGUUCGGAUUGUAGUCUGCAACUCGACUACAUGAAGCUGGAAUCGCUAGUAAUCGUAGAUCAGCAUGCUACGGUGAAUACGUUCCCGGGUCU
rnacentral:rRNA from 1 species